rnacentral:rRNA from 1 species
CAAGAGCGUAUGUAAAUGUUGUUGCAGUUAAAAAGCUCGUAGUUGAACCUUGGGUUUGGUUGGCCGGUCCGCUUUUUUGCGAGUACUGGAUUCAACCGAGCCUUUCCUUCUGGCUAACCAGUCGUUUCGGCGGCUGGCGAACCAGGAUUUUUACUUUGAGAAAAUUAGAGUGUUCAAAGCAGGCAUUAGCUUGAAUAUAUUAGCAUGGAAUAAUAGAAUAGGACGUUAUGGUUCUAUUUUGUUGGUUUCUAGGACCAUCGUAAUGAUUAAUAGGGACGGUCGGGGGCAUCAGUAUUCAGUUGUCAGAGGUGAAAUUCUUGGAUUUACUGAAGACUAACUACUGCGAAAGCAUUUGCCAAGGACGUUUUCAUUAA